rnacentral:rRNA from 1 species
UACGUAGGGGGCUAGCGUUGUCCGGAAUCAUUGGGCGUAAAGCGCGCGUAGGCGGCCCGGUAAGUCCGCUCUGAAAGUCCAGGGCUCAACCCUGGAAAGCGGGUGGAUACUGCCAGGCUAGAGUCCGGAAGAGGCGAGUGGAAUUCCUGGUGUAGCGGUGGAAUGCGCAGAUAUCAGGAAGAACACCGGUGGCGAAGGCGGCAUCCUGGACCAACACUGACACUGAGGAGCGAAAGCCAGGGGAGCAAACGGG